UACAGAGGUCCCGAGCGUUGUUCGGAUUCAUUGGGCGUAAAGGGUGCGUAGGCGGCGGGGUAAGUCUGAUGUGAAAUCCCGGGGCUCAACCCCGGAACUGCAUUGGAUACUGCCUUGCUUGAGUACUGGAGAGGAGACUGGAAUUUACGGUGUAGCAGUGAAAUGCGUAGAUAUCGUAAGGAAGGCCAGUGGCGAAGGCGAGUCUCUGGACAGUUACUGACGCUGAGGCACGAAGGCCAGGGGAGCAAACGGG
rnacentral:rRNA from 1 species